rnacentral:rRNA from 1 species
AUUGAACGCUGGCGGCAGGCUUAACACAUGCAAGUCGAGCGAGCGGCGGACGGGUGAGUAAUGUCUGGGAAAAUGCCUGAUGGAGGGGGAUCACUCAUGGACACGGUAGCUAAUACCGCAUACCCUCAGAUGUGCCCAGAUGGGAGUGGCUAGUAGGUGGGGUAAUGGCUCACGAAGGCGACGAUACCUAGCUGGUCUGAGAGGAUGACCAGCCACACUGGAACUGAGACACGGUCCAGACGCCUACGGGAGGCAGCAGUGGGGAAUAUUGCACAAUGGGCGCAAGCCGGAUGCAGCCAUGCCGCGUGUGUGAAGAAGGCCUUCGGGUUGUAAAGCACUUUCAGCGAGGAGGCGUUACUCGCAGAAGAAGCACCGGCUAACUCCGUGCCAGCCGCCGCGGUAAUUC